AACAGUUGGAACGACUGCUAAUACCGGAUAUGCCGGAAGGUGAAAGAUUUAUUGCCUGAAGAUAAGCUCGCGUCUGAUUAGCUAGUUGGUAGUGUAAGGGACUACCAAGGCGACGAUCAGUAGCUGGUCUGAGAGGAUGAUCAGCCACACUGGGACUGAGACACGGCCCAGACUCCUACGGGAGGCAGCAGUGGGGAAUUUUCCGCAAUGGGCGAAAGCCUGACGGAGCAAUACCGCGUGAGGGAGGAAGGCUCUUGGGUCGUAAACCUCUUUUCUCAAGGAAGAAAAAAAUGACGGUACUUGAGGAAUAAGCAUCGGCUAACUCCGUGCCAGCAGCCGCGGUAAUACGGAGGAUGCAAGCGUUAUCCGGAAUGAUUGGGCGUAAAGGGUCCGCAGGUGGAACUGAAAGUCUGCUGUUAAAGAAUUUGGCUCAACCAGAUAAAAGCAGUGGAAACUACAGAACUAGAGUACGUUCGGGGCAGAAGGAAUUCCUAGUGUAGCGGUGAAAUGCGUAGAUAUUAGGAAGAACACCGGUGGCGAAAGCGUUCUGCUAGGCCGUAACUGACACUGAGGGACGAAAGCUAGGGGAGCGAAUGGGAUUAGAUACCCC
rnacentral:rRNA from 1 species